ensembl:lncRNA
CCGUGGAAACACACGUUUACACUUGUCAUGGGAAACACACGUUACAUUGCGUGGGAAACACACGUUUACAUUGCCGUGGAAACACACGUUUACAUUGCCGUGGAAACCACACGUUUACAUUGCCGUGGAAACACACAUUUACAUUGUCAUGGGACACACCGUUUACAUUGUCAGGGAAACACACGUUUACACUGCCGUGGGAACAAGUUCAUUGCCGGGGAAACACCCGUUUACAUUGCCGUGGAAACACACGUUUACAUUGUCAUGGGACAACACGUUUACAUUUCAUGGGAAACACACGUUUACAUUGCCGUGGAACACCGUUACUUGCUGGAACACCGUUACAUUGUCAUGGGAAACACACGUUAUACAUUGUCAUGGGAAACACACGUUUACAUUGCCGUGGAAACACACGUUUACAUUGUCAUGGGAAACAACACAUUUUACAUUGCCGUGGAACACACGUUUACAUUGCCGUGGAAACACACGUUUACAUUGCCGUGGAAACACACGUUUACAUUGCCGUGGGAAACACACGUUUACAUUGUCAUGGGAAACACGUUUACAUUGCCAUGGGAAACACAGGAAACACACGUUUACAUUGUCAUGGGAAACACACGUUUACAUUGCCGUGGGAAACACACGUUUACAUUGCCGUGGAAACACACGUUUACAUUGCCGUGGAAACACACAUUUACAUUGCCGUGGAAACACGUUUACAUUGCCAAAGCAAGUGAAAUGAACAAGAAACAAAAGUGAGAAGAAACUAAAAACAACAUCAAAUGUCCAGUAAACAUGACAUCAUGAAGGAUUCACAAGGAUAAUAACGCUUCAUAUUAUCAGCUGUGUACAGUGUUUUUAAGAUUCACAAGGAUAACGAUGCUUCAAAUAGUAUAUUAUCAACUGUGUACAGUGUUUUUAACUUUUAACUAUGUGUAAAUAGUAGUAUGACUAGUAGGUGAAGAUAAGUAAUCAGAUGAAUAUAGGUUUUAUUUACAGUGUUGUCUCACUGGUUGACCACCUCUUGUGGCAACAGCUCAUCCAUCUUGCUGCUGUGACGGUACACUGGUAUUUCACCCAGUAGAUCUGGGAGUUUGUCAAAAAUGGGUUUGUUUUCAAAUUCGUUGUGGAUCUGUGUAAUCUGGGGGAAAUAUGUGUCUCUAUUUUGGUCAUACAUUUGGCAGGAGGUUAUGAAGUGCAGCUCAGUUUCCACCUCAUUUUGUGGGCAGUGAGCACAUAGCCUGUCUUCUCCUGAGAGCCAGGUCUGCCUACGGCAGCCUUUCUCAAUAGCAAGGCUAUGCUCACUGAGUCUGUACAUCUUAAUUUUUGGUCAGUCACAGUGGUCAGGUGUUCAGCCACUGUGUACUCUCUGUUUAGGGCCAAAUAGCAUUCUAAUUUGCUCUGUUCUUUGGUUGAUUAUUUCCAAUGUGUCAAGUGGUUAUCUUUUUGCUUUCUCAUGAUUUCAUUGGGUCUAAUUGUGUUGCUGUCCUGGGGCUCUGUGGGGUGUGUUUGUGUUUGUGAACAGAGCCCCAGGACCAGCUUGCUUAGGGGACUCUUCUCCAGGUUCAUCUCUCUGUAGUUGAGGGCUUUGUUAUGGUCAUUUACCAUCAUGAAAGGUUGCACCCUCCUAGGCCAUAUCAUCUCAAGGGAAUUUGCAUUUUUGUACCAACAAUAAGGUUUGACCAAUUUAGCUGCGGAACCCCUAACUAGACUAGAUUUAUACACUCUUCAUUACAUCUGAAUGGGCUGAAUAUUAGAGAGACAUAAAUUAACAAGGACAUCAUCUCCUGCUUUACCAAAUGGUUACAAGUACUUCACAAUAACUGAAGUUAGAUGUUACUUAACCUCCCUGGGAUUUGUGGGACGCGUCCCACUUGGCCAAAAGCCAGAGAAAAUGCUGAGCGUCAAAUUCAAAUAAAUAACUAUAAAAAUCAGACUUUCAUUAAAACACACAUGUAACAAAUUAAAGCUACACGUGUUGUGAAUCCAGCCACCAUGCCAGAUUUCAAAAAGGCUUUUCGGCGAAAACAAACGAUGCCAUUAUCUGAGGAUAGCACCCCUGUAAACAAAGAGAGAAAACAUAUUUCAACCCUGCAGGCGCGACACAAAACGCAGAAAUAAAAAUAUAAAUCAUGCCUUACCUUUGACGAGCUUCUUCUGUUGGCACUCCAUUAUGUCCCAUAAACAUCACAUAUGGUCCUUUUGUCCGAUUAAUUCUGUUGAUACAUAUCCAAAAUGCCCAUUUAUUUAAAACGCCCUCCGAUUUGACACACUGAACUCUAUCAGAGAAGUAGUUGGUGAACCAGGCGAGGCACCACCUCCACCUCAAGUUGACUAGAGUAAUGUAUUCAGUAUAGGUACCAAACAGGAUAACACAGUUUAGACCUGACUAUACUCCUAAUGGCCUAGUUCACUCAGUACCACAGAGAACACAGUUUAGACCCGACUAUAAUCCUAGUGGCCUAGUUCACUAGGUACCAAACAGGAGAACACAGUUUGGAUGGUGCAGUAUAUUGGACCCUAGACAGAGAACUGGCUUUGGUCUCUACUGGCUCGAUUUAAGAGUUCUCUAGAUGGUGC